CUAAUUUUGGGGGACAAUAGCUGCAAAUUAGAAGACUGGAGGAGGACUGGAUCGUGCCGAGUGUGACAGCGAGUGAGAGGAGAUCGUUCCCAUUCGGGGAGUGAACUUUGGGGUGCGAAUCCAAGCUGUCGGAGCCACCGGCUGGCCCCCCCCAGGAGAUGUUACCACAUGUCUGGAAUAACUAAAAGUGAUAUCGGAGAGGAGCGGACAGACGGCUCGAUGUGUUUAAACAUUAUAUUUACAUUUAGCUGAGGCUUUUUUUCCCCAAAGCAACGUGCAACAAGUGCAUCCAACCGACAGGCUGCUUCCUCGUCGCCAUGGAGACCAGAAGACAAUGAAAACUAAGGAACAUCUUGUUUAGACGUUGAGUAUAGCUAGCGUAGCAUAGACAAGCUAACGCUAGUCAACAAUGAACUAAGAUCAGAACGUGCCAUGCUAAUGUUAGCUCCACAGGCUUUGCAAUACAAACGUAGAUAUUUAAACACGACGAGCUGCACUGAACCAGCGUGAGAUAUUCUCAAAGUGCGGUUUUUAAAUGUUGGAUUUUAAAGCUUCCCAAGCUGCCGUUGAGCACAACAAGACCAAAUGUACAAAAUCCAAACAACAGCUGCCGUGUAAACACAAGCGUCACUUCUCAUUAUCUGGGCGAUGAAUCAUAGGAUGAAGACAUCCAGCCUCCUUCACGCGGUUCUGCAUCAGCUACUCGCGCACCCGGAACAUAAGCCAAUUUGGAGAUCUUUUGCAUGACGAAGCAUCGAUCGGCCACACUGGAGGAGAAGGCUCGGGGGAGCCGUGGCAUCAGCACAACCAGGAACAAGCAGAGCAGAGGAGGCGUCGCAAUGAGUCACGAGGCCGAUGAGAGCCGCUGAUUCAGACGUGUUUCAGAAACGUCUUCAUCCCCCUGAAUGCCAAUACGAUGGAAGAUGAUUGGAUUUCAUCUGGUGGUCUACAAGCUAUCUGUUCAUCAAGUGUUUGAUUUAACUCCACUUUAAGACUUGGCUUUAGACACCUCAACGUCACGGAGAAAUACACUUUAAUUGAUUUCAUUCUGAGUGUUAGAAGAUUGUGAAACAUUAAAAUGUGAAGCUGC
ensembl:lncRNA